rnacentral:rRNA from 1 species
CCGCGCCGUAAACGAUGAAUACUAGGUGUGGGGGGACUGACCCCUUCCGUGCCGGAGUAAACGCAAUAAGUAUUCCACCUGGGGAUUACGGUCGCAAGACUAAAACUCAAAGGAAUUGACGGGGGCCCGCACAAGCAGUGGAUUAUGUGGUUUAAUUCGAAGCAACGCGAAGAACCUUACCGGGGUUUGACAUCCGACUAACGAAGCAGAGAUGCAUUAGGUGCCCUUCGGGGAAAGUCGAGACAGGUGGUGCAUGGUUGU